rnacentral:rRNA from 1 species
CAGCAGCCACGGGAACACGUAGGGUGCGAGCGUUAAUCGGAAUUACUGGGCGUAAAGCGUGCGCAGGCGGUUCGUUAAGACAGAUGUGAAAUCCCCGGGCUUAACCUGGGAACUGCAUUUGUGACUGGCGAGCUAGAGUAUGGCAGAGGGGGGUAGAAUUCCACGUGUAGCAGUGAAAUGCGUAGAGAUGUGGAGGAAUACCGAUGGCGAAGGCAGCCCCCUGGGCCAAUACUGACGCUCAUGCACGAAAGCGUGGGGAGCAAACAGGAUUAGAUACCCGCGUAGUCCCUGUCUCUUAUAC